GACGAACGCUGGCGGCGUGCUUAACACAUGCAAGUCGAACGGUAAGGCCCUUCGGGGUACACGAGUGGCGAACGGGUGAGUAACACGUGGGUGAUCUGCCCUGCACUUCGGGAUAAGCCUGGGAAACUGGGUCUAAUACCGGAUAGGACUCCUGGCUUCAUGGUUGGGGGUGGAAAGCUUUUGCGGUGUGGGAUGGGCCCGCGGCCUAUCAGCUUGUUGGUGGGGUAAUGGCCUACCAAGGCGACGACGAGUAGCCGGCCUGAGAGGGUGACCGGUCACACUGGGACUGAGAUACGGCCCAGACUCCUACGGGAGGCAGCAGUGGGGAAUAUUGCACAAUGGGCGCAAGCCUGAUGCAGCGACGCCGCGUGGGGGAUGACGGCCUUCGGGUUGUAAACCUCUUUCAGCUAUGACGAAGCGCAAGUGACGGUAGUAGCAGAAGAAGGACCGGCCAACUACGUGCCAGCCGCCGCGGUAA
rnacentral:rRNA from 1 species